AUGCCUUUCUUGGCCUUUUUGCUAAGAUCAAGUGUAGUAUUUGUUCUUCUCAAUUUAAGAGGGAUUGGACAAAGAUCACCUGAUUAAUUUUUCAAGAUUAAACAUAUAACAACAUUU
rnacentral:snRNA from 1 species